UUUUGGAAGCAUAUUAGUUUUUAUUUUCAUCUUUCAUAUAACACGUUUAAAGACCGCUUCUUAAAAUUUAAAUAUUUUUAAUGUUUCUUAUUAAGCUUGUUUACGCUCUUUGAAAUCAUCUCCAGAAACCCAUUUAUUUUUAGUUUCAAGCUGAAAUGGAGCUGAAUCAUCACUCUUUUCAAAAAAUUCUUUUGUUGUCUAAUGGCACCACACCUAUCAUAUAUAUGAUUUUUUAAAAAAUUAAUCUCCCUUUUAUGGCAGAAUCAUUUAGUAAGUUUGUAAAAGCUAUACAUUUAUAUACUAUCUGAAGAGCAGAGGCUAUCCAAUUAAAAACCCUCCCCCAAAAGAUUACAACUGUCUUAUUUAAUUUUUGUUUUUUUAAAAGUCAUAUUCUAAUGCAUCUAAUGUUCUUGCUGCAUGGCUAAAAAAAAAACUAUAAAAACAUGCAAAUUUCAACCUACCUGUAUGCAUCACUUAAUGCAGUGCUAGCAUGACAAGACACUCAGCCAUUUUUAUGUAAAGCGAUGGAGACCAACUGAUUUCUCUGUCUUCUUGCUCACAAGUUUUAGAUGCAAUUGUCACAUACACACAAAAAUCAUACGCAGAACAGCUUGAAUGAACUGUGAUCACAGAACUGAAUUUAUCAACAGGAAAACAGGAUUGAAAAAAGAAGUUUCUCAUCCAAGGUUUCUCUGAGACUGCAACCAAGGAGGUGGUGUGUUGAAUUUUUUUCCCCUUCCUCCUCUGAGAGUUCAAAGCUCGGAGCUGACCACUGCAAAGGCCACUGUCACAUUUGCUGAAAAUCAAACCACUGAUACCAGCAUUGAAAAUACAAAUUUGAGAACCCAAGUUGCUUGCACAUGAUGGAGUGCAUAAGAGUUAAAAAUAGAAUCCACCUUGCCUCCUACCUGCAUAAUAAACAUGUAAGUUUCAAGUGUUUAAUUUGAUAUUCACAUUAAUUAACAAUACAACAUACAUUAUUUAAAAGACAGCAAAUGCACGAAGAAAGGAGAGACACCAUCUGGUAGCAGAGUUUUGUUGUUGUUUUUGUUUUUAGGGUUUGUGGGGGGUUUUGGUUUUGUUAAAAAAAAAAGGUAAAAUCAUAUUUAGAAUGUGAUGUAAAGCAAACAUCCAGAAGCAAAUGAAUCGGAAAUGAAAGGUGAUGUUGAAAUAUCUAAGGCUGUAAUGAGGCAAAAACAAGUCUUCGCUACCAGAUGAUAUGGCAUACAGAGCAUUUACAUACUCACAUCUGAAAUACUAGGCAACGUGUAAUGAAUUCUAGACACAGCAUGCACACACAGCACAAGCACGACUAAUCCUGCCUGCCAUCUUAGGCUCGCAGAAGCAAGAUACGUACUGCAUGCAGCACACGAGCACUGGGGAAGGAGGAGGCAAGGGACAGCUCACCUUAAAUGCAGUAUCUGAUUAAUGUUGUAAGUGACAUUGCAUAUCAGCCUC
rnacentral:lncRNA from 1 species